GGAUGGACUUUCUUCUCAAAACUUUAACAUUGUGGUCCAGUAUCUGGACUGGCUCCUCCUCAAAAUUUAGAUCUGGCCUAACCUCGAUCUCCUUAACAGAAACAACAUGUGUGGGAUCAAAUGGUAGUGCCUCAACAUCGACACAUGAAAAGCAUCGUGAAUCCACUCCAAUUCUGUAGGUAGCUCUAACUGAUAGGCAACUGGCCCCACUCAUCUCAGUAUACGAUAAGGCCCAAUAAAUGUAGGGCUCAGCUUACCCUUACGACCAAAUCUUAACAUUUUCUUCCAUGGUGAGACCUUGAGAAACUCAAAGUCCCUCACAGAAUACUCUAUCUCUCGAC
rnacentral:lncRNA from 1 species